GAAGAAGAGAACAAGAGCCUGUCAGAAAUGCUGUUACCCUCUUUUCCCCUUGAAAAGUGUUUAAGUAUUAUGUGUUUAAGUAUUUUGCCUGUAUGUGUUUGCAUGCCACAUACAUACAUGCCUGGUGUCCAGCUGGUGUUAAGCCUAUUGUCCAGCUAGUCCAACAGUGGCUGUCUACCAAGCAGAAAGUGCAAGAAUCCAGUAGUUGUCCAGUCCAUGAGACUGAGUGUCUCGGCUGGUCUUCAGUGUACGCUGGGAUCCUGAAGGCUCUGGUGGCAGUGAAGAAUCGGACUUGCAGCCUUGCCGGGAGAGUGACCAGCACAGAGUGAGGGCUUCCUCCUGUAUCCUUUUUUUUUUUUGGUUCUUUUUUUCCGGAGCUGGGGACUGAACCCAGGGCCUUGCCCUCCUGUAUCCUUAUAUAGGUGAAGGGCAGGAGAGGUGGCCCACAUUAAAGGUGGGUCUUUAAUUAAGAAGAAAAUCCCUCAGGUGUGUCCAGCCUCUAAUUCCAAUUACAGUCAAGCUGACAACCACGACUGACCAUUGUAAGUCAGUUCAGCACACAGUCAUAUUUUGCCUAAUUUCCAAAUAAAAACAAUAACCUGCUCAUAA
rnacentral:lncRNA from 1 species